UACGGGGGGGGCAAGCGUUGUUCGGAAUUACUGGGCGUAAAGGGCUCGUAGGCGGCCAACUAAGUCGGACGUGAAAUCCCUCGGCUUAACCGGGGAACUGCAUCCGAUACUGGAUGGCUUGAGUUCGGGAGAGGGAUGCGGAAUUCCAGGUGUAGCGGUGAAAUGCGCAGAUAUCUGGAGGAACACCGGUGGCGAAGGCGGCAUCCUGGACCGACACUGACGCUGAGGAGCGAAAGCCAGGGGAGCAAACGGG
rnacentral:rRNA from 1 species